GCUAUUAAGAUCAUAAGGAUGUAUUACGCGUGUGAGAGAGAAGAAAGAAAAACUCGGUAGAAUAGAAUUGGUGGAAUCGUUAAGUGUCUGUUGGAAACAGGAGGGUGAGAGAAUGCAUUCGUUUUCUGCAUUCGUCCAAAAGGCGACGCGCAACGCGGGCGUAUGAAACGGCCCUUCUGCCACCGCCAUACACCAUACGCUAUUAAUAUCAUAGGGUAUAUUUAGAUUUCAUUGGGGAAGAGAGAGCGAGAUCACGAGUUGCUCGGCCGAUACGCCGUCUGUAAAGUGCGCGAGACCCCGCCAAUGAAUCGCAAUAAAGGAAUUCGCUUCUUUGUCGAUACGAUACGAUCUCGAGAUUCUUUUUCUUUUUUUUUUUUUUUAAUUGGA